AUGGCCCAAAGUCUGGGGACAGAGCGGUUCAAAGGCGGCAGCAAGGCCAGCUCCCGCAGGCAGGCCCGCAGUGCACUGGUCUCCUGCUGCAACGCCGCCCGGGCCUCCUCCAGGACGAGCAGCUUCUGCUCCUUCUCCUCCUUGGACCGCUUAAAACUGACGAGGGUGCCACAGGCUGGGGUCCCCGCACCUCCUGGGGGGGCCAGCACAGCUGCCCAGCAGUAUCCAGCCCAGCCUGUCACCUCUGCCACCUGCUGUGAGGGUUGUGCCGUCCCGCCCAGCUGCCCCACAGGGGCCUUUCUGGAGACCCAGCCAGGCCCUUGGCCUCCCUCUGCUCCCCAGCUCUGCACCGCCUCCUGGAGGCCACCUGUGACCUAUCUUCCUGUUAGAUGGGAACUCCCUGUGGGCAGGGACAGGUGUGUCUGUGUCCCCAGACAUCCCUCGCACUGGCCAGCAUUGCUGACCUCUUGGACUGGGCAGUGGGAGGCCCGCUUGGCAUGUCUACCCCACCAUCAGUGGAGCCCAAAUCAGCAGGACGCCCCUGCCUAA
rnacentral:lncRNA from 1 species